UACGUAGGCAGCGAGCGUUGUUCGGAGUUACUGGGCGUAAAGCGUGCGUAGGCGGUGCCAUAAGUCUGUUGUGAAAUCUCCCGGCUUAACUGGGGGGGUGCGGUGGAAACUGUGGUGCUGGAGUGUGGGAGAGGUAGGCGGAAUUCCUGGUGUAGCGGUGAAAUGCGUAGAUAUCAGGAGGAACACCUGUGGUGUAGACGGCUUACUGGACCAUGACUGACGCUGAGGCACGAAAGCGUGGGGAGCAAACAGG
rnacentral:rRNA from 1 species